GCCUGUGAAGGUGAGUUGAGAAGCUUGCUGGAGGUAUCAGAAGUGCGAAUGCUGACAUGAGUAACGACAAUGGGUGUGAAAAACACCCACGCCGAAAGACCAAGGGUUCCUGCGCAACGUUAAUCGACGCAGGGUUAGUCGGUUCCUAAGGCGAGGCUGAAAAGCGUAGUCGAUGGGAAACAGGUUAAUAUUCCUGUACUUCUGGUUACUGCGAUGGAGGGACGGAGAAGGCUAGGCCAGCUUGGCGUUGGUUGUCCAAGUUUAAGGUGGUAGGCUGAAAUCUUAGGUAAAUCCGGGGUUUCAAGGCCGAGAGCUGAUGACGAGUCGUCUUUUAGAUGACGAAGUGGUUGAUGCCAUGCUUCCAAGAAAAGCUUCUAAGCUUCAGGUAACCAGGAACCGUACCCCAAACCGACACAGGUGGUCGGGUAGAGAAUACCAAGGCGCUUGAGAGAACUCGGGUGAAGGAACUAG
rnacentral:rRNA from 1 species